rnacentral:lncRNA from 1 species
ACCAUCGAUGCCUGCAGUAGAUUGCUGAGGCGCUGCUCUUUAACUUCAAACUGGCAUAAGGUCAUCAACAUCCUUAUUCACAUCAAAGACGAUUUCAUUCAACAGGAGCAUCAAUGUAUCCAUGACUUGAAGCCAGUGCGACGGUAGACUCCUUCAACUCUUUAAGCCCUGCUUGAAGAACAAAACAAAAGGUAAAGCAAAAAAAAGAAAAAAUCGCAAAUUCAAGAUCAAUUGGAAAUCAUAUGAUCGCGUUUCCAAGGUGGGCGGCAUUUGGGAAACCAAUGUGUCUGCAUUACGUCAUAUGCUUCUUUCAUACUUUCGUAAAACUGACUCAGGUUCAUGUUUUCUCCAUGCUCGUUCGUUGCAGUAGAGACAAGCUUAUGCCGUAAAAUCUAUUCCAAACAAAAACAAAUAUCCAUCAUAGCGACAACAAGGCAUAUUUGAGAAUGUAAAUUUACAGGUCCUAUAUUCAAUGGUCAAUAAGAAUAUGUACCUGAUGUUUUUAGAGUAGCUAAGCUCUUGGUAUGCAUUGGAGAUUGCGGAAUCACGCCGUUGGAAGGAGGAUUCCAAUAAGCCCGCAGAAUAAGGUCUGGAAAGUAAGAUUGACAAAGACUGUAAAAUGCAAAAAUAUUGACGAGAUGGAGUAGAGGUUGAAAUAAGUUAUCUUCUUCCAUUAACUGUGAUUGCAAUGGAUUUCCAAGUGUUUCGAACAAAACAUACCAAAAAUCCCAAGAGUAGUAAGUCAUAGUGGUAAGACGAAGGUUUUCUUAGAUUGAACUCCUUUUGCUGCGCGAGUUGUGAUGCAAACACUAUGAUCAAAGUAGUAAGCACGGCAAUCAUAGUCGCUGGUAUAAAUGCUCCGAUAAUGUACAAUAUAGGCACAUUCAACAUUUCCUGCAAAAUGCAGCAAAAGAUUAGCAUCAUGCGCAUGCCUGCUUUAGUACGAGUUCGACUCUACUGAUAAAAAAUUAUUCAUAAUAAUUAUCAAACACGCCUUUACAACAGUCCAAUUUGAGUAUGCACCAGGAGACCAUGGAUUUGGACUAAAAAGUCGCCCUCGGGACUCCCCUCGGAACCUUGUUGACAGGUAUGUAAGAUACAGCAGUCCAUACGAGAUCAUUAAGGGACACCGUAAUCAGCUAUAAAUCCUCGUAGCCAACCUAUAAUAUAUAACAAAUUGGUUUAGAAAAAUGAGAAUGUUGAUAUAAACAAAUAAUUUACCGCAAACUCACAAUCUAAGCAUAGUAAAUACCUGUCCGUAACGCCGGAUCUAGCCUUGCGGCUUCCUAGACCGGUAAAAAGAAGGCCGAACGAUAAAACUAAAGCAAACAUGCCAUUGCCAAACAGCCAAGAGGAUGGAGUGCAAUCUGAUUGGUACCUUGUCUGUGUCUUUGGUACACCAAACUCUUCCACAAGUCCCUUUAAAAUGGAGAUUAUAACUUCUUAUCAAAUACUUAGUUUUCAUUUUAGGUAAACUGUUAACAGAAAGUGCCUAUUUUGAAACCGCAUACAGAAGUACAGAUUACUAAAGAAAAAUACCUUUAUAGCCUGCUGCAUAAAGAGCAUUGCAAUUACAGACCAAAUAGUUCACCGGUAAGGCGCGUGAACGCGGUUGAUUAUGGAGCAUGCACCGAGAAUAGCCAGCAAGAACAGCAACAGUGCAGUCCAAACGCACACCCUAAAACAUUAUUUGUAAAAAAGUAUCGACAAAGUUACUUCAGCUCAUUAGUAAUUCCCUUAUAAAAAUAAACCGGACAAAGAUUUCCAAAGAUACCAUCCAGUCCAAGGCAAGAACAAUUUGUGUCCUAAUCUCGCGAUCUUUUGCAAAAUUGUACAUGAAUGUAUACAUCAGAAACCGUUGGCUCGGCUACACCUAGUAUGAGGAGAGGUUGCCCUCCGAUAACCGAGUGGACAAUACCGCACAGUGCAGUUGAUGCAGAGUCUGCACAGCAGUGAGAGUUCCAUCUGUAUAAUAUAACUUCUUAGCAAUAUAAUAUGACAUAAAAACGAGACUGAACCUCAAAAAUAUUUGUGUACCGUACUUCUCUCAAGUUGCUCCCCAAAAGAAAUAACAGGAAUUGCAGAAGCAAAAAAUAUGUAUGUAGUUGGUGCAAGAUCCUAUAUAUAAACAACAACAAAAUUAAAUCAUCAAAAACCUUUCUUUCUAAUGUUUGUAAAAAAAAACAAGCAAGUUCAUAGUUAUAUCACAAACCUUGCACCUGCGCGGAAUCCACUGGUCCAAUCUUGUUGUAGCACAUAAUUCUUGCUUUGAAGUCAUUCUUAAUCCCGCGAAAAGGAACAAAUGUUUCUUCCAUGAAAGUCUUUGAAUACCAAGGAACUAAUAUUGAAUCUCAAAAAUAAAGAAGAUGAAAAAUAUGCAAUUGGAAGGUGCUUAUUUCAGACUCAAUUCAAGAGAGCUCUAGAGGUAAAAACAGUACUUAAUUAAAGCCUGAUACGCGAAAAUAAAACAUAACUCCGGGCAGGGAGACGAGAAUUCUACAUAACAUCAUCCUAAACAGAAAAGCUGAAGGUGUAGUUAUUUGUUGAUUGUUGAGCCCACCAGGCUCAUAGUGAAGAAAAUGAAUGAAUGAAUCCAGAAAAAAAGAAUUUACAUUUCAAAGAAUUUAUGAACUCUUGCAUAUAUUGUAUUGUGUAAUUGAACAAAAAGCACUUGAAUUACAUAUCCCAACAGAACUCAAAGAGAGUCAAACAAACACUUCACAAGAAGAGUUGAGUGAGAAAACUGUCCUCAAAAACUAACACUCAACCAUAACAAAACCAAGAUCCAAAACUACCCUUCUUCCUAGAAUACAAUAAAAACCCUCCAUAUGCCUAUCAAAAGAGACAAAAUUUACACCUAGAAACAAGUUACAUGUUACACUUUCACACUCAAACACACACUCAAUAUUCAAAGUGAAGUUAAUCAAAUACACGUUUUUGAAUGUAUAGCUUAUGGAGGCAAUACAAUAAAAUUAACGAAAACCCAUAAUCACAACCUGCAUUUUCAUAUAGUAUAAAAGCUCUAAGAAGAAUAUCUUAAACAGAACAGAACAUUCAAAGAUGCAGCUAGAUUAACGAGAUUCCAUGUUGGGAUUCGUUUAGAACACUUUUCAGGAUUCAGACAUUAAUUGAAAGCAAAAGGGUACUUUAAUCUAAAAUCAAAAAUUACAUCUUUCUGCAAAGAGACUUCAAAAAGGAAACAACGGCAAUUUGAAGCAAAACAAAGAAAAUGAACUUGCCGUUACAAUAAAGUGAGGAGCACGAAUAGUGAAGAUUCUAUGGUAAACAAGAUUGGCGACAAAGAACACAAAGUAAGAGUGACAGAACCAAGAGAAGAAGGGGUGAAAUUUGAUUUUUUGGAGGUUAUGAAAACGAGAGGUGUGAAGCACCCAAAGAGAAGGUGCAGAGAUGUUGUUUUUGUGUGACAGUGGUGGAAUGGUGUGAAGAAAGUUAAUUUAUAUAUAAAGAAAAUGUUGGAAUGAAGAAUGAAAAUAGUAUAGUAGUAAAUGAUAGUGCGACACAUAGACACAGACAUGAACAAGUUGUUUAGGAGUUUUAGGUAAAACUGUUUGUCGAUAAUGAUAGUUGCGUGUUUAAUAUUUGUAAAUAACUAUCUAAGACCAACAAAAUAAAUGAAGUGUGUGUUGUUUAUUUGUUCAACACAAAAGAACACAAAUUUGUCUAUAAAGAAACUUACAAAUAAGAUUGUGACUCAAAAAACUUAAAUAAAUAAAAGUAAUAAUGAUGGAUAAAUGAGUAAUAAUUNAUAUGCAUCUGCAAUAGGAUCUAUCAUGUAUGUCAUGUUAUGUACUCGACCAGAUGUCUCGUAUGCUUUAAGUGCAACGAGUAGGUACCAAUCUGAUCCUGGUGAUGCUCAUUGGGUAGCUGUCAAGAAUAUCCUUAAUUAUUUGAGAAGGAUUAAGAACUCAUUCUUGAUAUAUGGAGGUCAGGAAGAGCUGGUUGUAAUUGGAUACACCGAUGCUAGUUUCCAGACAGAUAAGGAUGACUUUAGAUCGCAAUCUGGUUAUGUGUUUUGCUCAAACGGUGGCGCUGUGAGCUGGAAAAGUUCAAAGCAAGACACAGUUGCUGAUUCUACAACUGAGGUCGAGUAUAUUGUUGCCUCAAGUGCAGCAAAGGAAGCUGUUUGGAUCAAAAAGUUCAUUAGUGAACUUGGCAUAAUUCCUAGCAUUGUGGAUCUCGUUGGUCUCUAUUGUGAUAACAAUGGUGCCAUCGCACAAGCUAAGGAGCCUAGAUCUCACCAAUGAUCCAAACACAUACUUAGGCAUUAUCACCUCAUUCGAGAGAUAAUAGAUAGAGGAGAUGUGAAAAUAUGCAGAGUACCUACACUUGACAAUAUUGCUGACCCACUGACAAAGCCUCUUGCGUAGCAGAAGCACGAUGGCCAUACUAGAUCUAUUGGCAUUAGGGGUUGCCUGAUUGGCUCUAGUACUAGUGGGAGAUUGUUGGUGUAAGCCCUAGAGGCCAAUACUUUUGGUACUUGUAUCGAAUUAUUUAUUAAUAAUAAAAGGCUUUUUCUUUAUUAUGUUUGUCUAAUAAAGUCCCUAGAAUAGAUAGUCCGUUUAAUGUAUCAAGUAUGACUUAAUCAUGAGAUCACAUUAAACAUAAGGACACUAUUCUUAAAGUAUCCGUAGUCGAGCUUUAUUGUGAAGUGGGAUAACAUUAAAGCAUUAAGACUAUUAUGUAUAUAGACUGAUGAUCACAUCUCAUGGAUCAUGGAUAAGGAGUUAUCAAGUCUUAAACAUAGGUAUGAAUAUUAAGAGUAAUAUUUAUACUGGAUUGACCCGCUAUGAGAAUACUAUAUAGAAUGUUAUGCAAAGUGUCAUAAGUUAUUCUCAUGGUGAUAAUGGUGUAUACCAUCCUUCGACCUGAAACCACUAUGGACCCUAGAUGUAGAGUCGAGUGCCUUAUUGCUGAUCAAACAUUGUCCGUAAUUGGAUGACCAUAAAGACAGUUGAAGGGUACUCCACGAAGCAUGCUAAGGGACAUGAGUGAACUAGAUGGAAUUUUCCCAUCCUGCGUAACAGAAUAAAUUCCUAUGGGCCCAAUAUUGAACUGUACAAAGAUGACACGGUCUAUGCCUUGUGUUCAAUAUAGACAUAAGGGCAAAAGGGUAAUUGUACACAUAAGUAUUAUCGCAAAAGGAUUUGUCAGAUCACAUGACAUUUUUGUGUCUUGGGUAGUAGUGAUGUGUUGCUAGAUACCGCUCAGUGUUUAUUAUGUUAAAUACGUGAUUUAAUAUAAUUAUCAAUGCCGCGAGAACCUACAUGGUCACACACAAAGGACGGAUUGAUAAGAGAUAGAGUAACUAAGAAACACCGUAAGGUACGGUACACUUAAGUGAAUUGUAGAACAUCGUAAGGUACGAUGUACUUAAGUAGAAUACGAAAUAUGGUAAGAUACCACGCACUUAAGUGAUUUUUGCAUAUUAUAAGAUAUGGGCCACAUACACUUAAGUGGGCUUUUUAGCUUAUAGCCCACACAAGUGGUUCUAUAAAUAGAACCCUUGUGCAGAAGCAUUAGUGCAGUUGCAAUUUCGUUUCUCUCUCUACCCACACAAGUGGUUCUAUAAAUAGAACCCUUGUGCAGAAGCAUUAGUGCAGUUGCAAUUUCGUUUCUCUCUCUCUCUCUCACUCAAAGCCUUCAUUCGUAGCAGCUAGCACUGAGAUUGAAGGAAUUCGUUCGUGUGAACUGAGUAAAGGCGUUGUCAUCGUUCAACGUUCGUGAUUGCUCCGUAGAUCUGCAUCAAAGGUUACAAUCGCCACAAGAGGUAACAAUUCUAUCACUGAUCAUGCCCAUUCGUAAGGAUCACUAAAGGAGAAAUUUUAAAUUCCGCUGCAUUUUGGAUCGCCUUUCUCCUUCACAGUCGAGUACACUAUAAGUUGUGUCAAACUCUAACUUGUCGCAUCAACCCAUAUGUUGAAAGAAAACAGUGAAACGUUUCAAUGAUGGAAAUGCAUUUAAUGUGUUUGUUCCCCGCUACUUUUCAACUGACUCCAAGUGUUUUAGUUCUAGCUCACAUUAGAAAACAUUCUUGGAGGCCGGCCAAAACCACUUAAGGUUCUCUGACUCUUUCUAUGUCCGACAAAGUCCUGGGAGCAACUGUUCUUGGUCGGCCAAAUGCUCAAAUGGUUGAGACCCACUUCAACUCAAAUCCGCUCCACUUGAUCCAAGAUAUAAAGUCAGUUCACACGGAAAGAAAGAUACAUUCUCUGAUCUCCACUUUUCACUACACUCAUCUUAAAUCUUAAACUGACUUGAACGUUACAAUGUUAACCUUUCAGGUCCACCCCGUACCACCACCCUGGAAAUCAACACCGCCGGUUUGAGUUUCCUCUUCAACGAAUCACAUCUAUUUCUGGUUCCAAGAAAGUGUAUCAUGUCUCAUAAUUCCUUCAUAGAAACAAGCUAAGCAACAUAAAACUGAAAUCCAAACAGCAACAUAACAACCAUUCAUAAAUGGCAUCAUUCCAUCAACUUGAAAAUAUUCCUGCCCGUUUUAUAUAUUGUAAGGAUUAAAACGAUAAGACAUCAAGAAGAUGUCGAUUGUUUGUUGUUGUCAAAAACACAACCUAUAGAGCAUCACUUAGUACUGCUAUGAUCUGUUAAAGAUACAUUUUAGCUUUGAAGUUGAAUCAUUUGAAUAUUUUUCAAGGAAUUUGCUUUAACUUUAACUUCUUUCCGUUUGAUCCUACACUACUGCUGCUUUCCCCUCUCAAUGCGGUUACUCGAGGGCUAGGAAUCAUUUGUGAUAUUUGCGGGCUAUUAGCAGGUCUUAUAUCUCCUCCUAUUGGUGUUGCAGUUGAACUAGAUGCUUUAGAGCUUUGAGUGCGACGUAUCUCUCCGCGACUCCUCGUGAUAAUCUCAUCAAGAAUUUCUCCACCACUGACAUUCACUGUCGUUCCAUGGUUACUUAGAUCCUGCAAGGUAUAUAGACAUUAAAACUGUGAACAACAUAUAUGAUAAGGUUAAAACAUUUUUGUGUUAAUCUCUUAUGAUGGAUCAAACUAAAAUGAUUCAAAACCUCUUACAUCAAAGGACAUGUUGAAAGCAAUGGCGGGUGCUUCCUCGUAUGAUGCCGCGUCCAACUCUUGAAGAUGGGGUCCUUUGAAAAAAUGGGGAAGAAAAUAUUGCCGAACCGGGACAAGAAGCAUGAUUAACAACGGAAAGAGGACCCCGGCGAUCGGUAUCCAGGUUAUGCCAAAGCAGAGAAGCAAGUAAGCUGUCUGGAACAGAGUAAACAGAGCAAUUGCUUUCAAAGGCACAGUCUCAACAAAAGUGGCAUGGUGUUCCUCCAGCAGUCUAGAAAGGAAAAGAGAAAAGCAUCAAUCUCGUAAAACAGAACGCUAAUAGUCACGAGCAACGAGCGUGCGAUAACUUUAAUACGUUGUUCUCAGCUUGUUGAUCCAAAGAGCCUUAGAAGGGUGACAAAUUGAUUAUGAAAAUAAACUUACUUGUAUCUUCGACUUGGAGCAGUGAAAAGGUACAAUAUUCUCUCCCAAAAUUGAUUUCCCGGCAAGCUUUCAAUUGCCAUGAAGGCAAAGUAACCCCAAAGCACUGAAGUUGGUAUCUUCUUCAAAAGAGGCAUAGCAGCAACACAAGCCGCAACCAUCGAUGCCUGCAGUAGAUUGCUGAGGCGCUGCUCUUUAACUUCAACUGGCAUAAGGUCAUCAACAUCCUUAUUCACAUCAAAGACGAUUUCAUCAACAGGAGCAUCAAUGUAUCCAUGACUUGAAGCCAGUGCGACGGUAGACUCCUUCAACUCUUUAAGCCCCUGCUUGAAGAACAAAACAAAAGGUAAAGCAAAAAAAAGAAAAAAUCGCAAAUUCAAGAUCAAUUGGAAAUCAUAUGAUCGCGUU